rnacentral:rRNA from 1 species
AUUGAACGCUGGCGGCAUGCUUUACACAUGCAAGUCGAACGGUAACAGGCCGCAAGGUGCUGACGAGUGGCGAACGGGUGAGUAAUGCAUCGGAACGUGCCCAGUCGUGGGGGAUAACGCAGCGAAAGCUGCGCUAAUACCGCAUACGAUCUAUGGAUGAAAGCGGGGGACCGUAAGGCCUCGCGCGAUUGGAGCGGCCGAUGUCAGAUUAGGUAGUUGGUGGGGUAAAGGCUCACCAAGCCGACGAUCUGUAGCUGGUCUGAGAGGACGACCAGCCACACUGGGACUGAGACACGGCCCAGACUCCUACGGGAGGCAGCAGUGGGGAAUUUUGGACAAUGGGCGCAAGCCUGAUCCAGCAAUGCCGCGUGCAGGAAGAAGGCCUCGGUUGUAAACUGCUUUUGUACGGACGAAACGGACUCUGGUUAAUACCUGGGGCUAAUGACGGUACCGUAAGAAUAAGCACCGGCUAACUACGUGCCAGCAGCCGC